rnacentral:rRNA from 1 species
AUGAAGAUACCUCUUAAUAAUAAAAUAUUUGCAUGGUAUAUUCAUCGUGGAGUCAUUCUUACUAAAGAUAACCUUAUCAAGAGUAAUUGGCAUGGAAGUUCGCAAUGUGCUUUUUGUCAUCAUGAUGAGAGAAUAAAACAUUUAUUCUUCCAAUGCAAAUUGGCUUGGUCUAUAUCGUCAGUCAUCCAGAUAGCUUCUGACUUGUAUUCUCCUUAUAGUGUUGCUAAUGUAUUUGGCAACUGGUUACAUGGGAUUGAUCACGGGUUUAGAACUCUUCUUAGGGUGGGAGCGCUUGCCGUUAUUUGGUUGCUUUGGCUAUGUAGAAAUGAUAAGGUUUUUAACGAUAAAAGUACUUCUCUAAUGCAGGUUAUCUACAGAUGUACCUGGACUCUUUGUUUAUGGUCCUCUCUACAACGCGUGGAGAAUCGGGACCUGAUGUCUACUAUGCAACUUUAUUGUUGUGGACUCAUGUUGGGCCUCCAAGCGUAG